rnacentral:lncRNA from 1 species
AGCUUCUCAAGUGAUUCCAGUGUGCAGUUUGAGGAGCAAUGUUGUACACUCUUCACUAUUCAAAUGUAGUCAAAAGAACAUCAUCAUCAUCAUCAUCAGCUUGUUUAAAGUACAGAACCUCAGGCUUCUGUGAUACCUACUGACUCAGAAUCUGUCUUUAACAAGACUGUCGCAUGAUUUGCAAGAACACUAAAGUUUGAGAAUUGCUACAGACCAUGUUUCCCAAAGAUUUGUUUUGUCUAUGAGCAUAGCUCAUCUGCAGAUUUCUAAAAACUAGGUAAUUGAUGAAGCAUAUCACCUUCUGAUUCACUGUCUGAAUCCAGCCUGAUCAGAGUCUUCUGAAUUAUGUAGAAUGCAUUGGAAUUACUAUGUACUUUAAGGUAGUAAAAAAGCAGCUGUGUAGUCAUAAGGCCACAGAAAAAGGUGUUGUGUGAGAAAGGGAGAGUUGACUCUGAAAAAUGCAAUUUUGUAAUGUAAAAGGCUACGGUGCUUAGUGUGGGUGCACACGUUAUGAGGGAAUUACUGAUCUUUCAGUGGGAAACUGGUAAUUUUUUUUUUUUUUUAGUUGUCAAUGGACCUUUAUAUGCGGUGCUGAGAAUCGAACCCAGUGCCUCACACAUGCUAGGCAAGUGCACUACUACUGAGCUACAACUCCAGCCCCUGGUAAUUUUAUUUUUUUAUAAAUGCUUUUUUUUUUUUUGUACUGGGGAUCAAACCCAGGAGCACUUUAACACUGAGUUAUAUCCCCAGCCCUUUUUACUUUUUGAGACAGGGUCUCACUAAAUUGCUUAGGGCCUCACUAAGUUCCUGAGGCUGGCUUCAAACUUGUCAUCCUCCUGCCUCAGCCUCCCAAGCUGCUGGGAUUAUGGGUAUGUACCACUGCCCCUGGAAACUCUGAUAAAUUAAAAAAAAAUAAAAAGAAGAUUUCUCAAAGAAUUGAUGAAGUAGAAUUUUGGGAAGGUAAUCCUGGGUUAGCUCAUUCUAUUUCAUUAUGUGGCUCCAGAGCUGUAAGUCAGGCCUUACUCUGAGGUAAGAUCUUCAAGCCUCUGACUCUUCAUUGCUGUUUUAUCUUAUUUGAUUCUCUUUCCCUUUUUAAUUUUUAAUUUGUUUUAAUUAGUUAUACAUGACAGCAGAAUGUAUUUCAACUCAUUGUACACAAAUGGAGCACAACUUCUUAUUUCUCUGGCUUCACACAUGCAGAGUCACACUGUUCAUGCAAUCAUAUGUGGUGAGCCGCUUCUGCCGUUUCUGCAGAUUAUGGUCGCCAUUGCAAGAUGACGCUGGCUCCGCUGUGGUCUGUGACAAACAACUCCUUAUCUGGGAGAGUUGGCACAUGAUUUUUCACCACCCUG